rnacentral:rRNA from 1 species
UGGGGAAUCUUGGACAAUGGGCGCAAGCCUGAUCCAGCCAUGCCGCGUGAGUGACGAAGGCCUUAGGGUUGUAAAGCUCUUUUGGCGGGGACGAUAAUGACGGUACCCGCAGAAUAAGCCCCGGCUAACUUCGUGCCAGCAGCCGCGGUAAUACGAAGGGGGCUAGCGUUGUUCGGAAUUACUGGGCGUAAAGCGCACGUAGGCGGCCUUGUAAGAUGGGGGUGAAAUCCCUGGGCUCAACCCAGGAACUGCCUUCAUGACUGCAAAGCUCGAGGAUGUGAGAGGUUGGCGGAAUUCCGAGUGUAGAGGUGAAAUUCGUAGAUAUUCGGAAGAACACCAGUGGCGAAGGCGGCCAACUGGCACAUUUCUGACGCUGAGGUGCGAAAGCGUGGGGAGCAAACAGGAUUAGAUACCCCCGUAGUCCCUGAGCGGGCUGGCAAGGCGCAU